rnacentral:rRNA from 1 species
ACAUGACUACAACAUAACGUUAAUGCAUUGGAUCCCAUUAGAACUCCACAGUCAAGCAAGCUCAUGCUAGAGUAGUAUUGGGAUGGGUGACCUCCUGGGAAGUCCUAGUGUUUUACAUGCC